UACAGGGGGGGCAAGCGUUUGUUCGGAAUUACUGGGCGUAAAGGGUUCGUAGGUGGCUUACUAAGUCAGACGUGAAAUCCCUCAGCUUAACUGGGGAACUGCGUCUGAUACUGGAAAGCUUGAGUGCAGGAGAGGAACGCGGAAUUCCAGGUGUAGCGGUGAAAUGCGUAGAUAUCUGGAGGAACACCGGUGGCGAAGGCGGCGUUCUGGACUGUAACUGACACUGAUGAACGAAAGCCAGGGGAGCAAACGGG
rnacentral:rRNA from 1 species